AGCUUGCUCCCUGAUGUUAGCGGCGGACGGGUGAGUAACACGUGGGUAACCUGCCUGUAAGACUGGGAUAACUCCGGGAAACCGGGGCUAAUACCGGAUGGUUGUUUGAACCGCAUGGUUCAAACAUAAAAGGUGGCUUCGGCUACCACUUACAGAUGGACCCGCGGCGCAUUAGCUAGUUGGUGAGGUAACGGCUCACCAAGGCAACGAUGCGUAGCCGACCUGAGAGGGUGAUCGGCCACACUGGGACUGAGACACGGCCCAGACUCCUACGGGAGGCAGCAGUAGGGAAUCUUCCGCAAUGGACGAAAGUCUGACGGAGCAACGCCGCGUGAGUGAUGAAGGUUUUCGGAUCGUAAAGCUCUGUUGUUAGGGAAGAACAAGUACCGUUCGAAUAGGGCGGUACCUUGACGGUACCUAACCAGAAAGCCACGGCUAACUACGUGCCAGCAGCCGCGGUAAUACGUAGGUGGCAAGCGUUGUCCGGAAUUAUUGGGCGUAAAGGGCUCGCAGGCGGUUUCUUAAGUCUGAUGUGAAAGCCCCCGGCUCAACCGGGGAGGGUCAUUGGAAACUGGGGAACUUGAGUGCAGAAGAGGAGAGUGGAAUUCCACGUGUAGCGGUGAAAUGCGUAGAGAUGUGGAGGAACACCAGUGGCGAAGGCGACUCUCUGGUCUGUAACUGACGCUGAGGAGCGAAAGCGUGGGG
rnacentral:rRNA from 1 species